rnacentral:tRNA from 1 species
GAGGGAAUAGCUCAGUGGUAGAGCGGAUGCUCAGUAUUCGUGAGGUCCUGGGUUCAAUCCCCAGCCACCUCC